rnacentral:tRNA from 1 species
ACCACAGUGGCCGAGCGGUUUAAGGCGGAGGUCUCAAGUGCCUUUAUCGAAAGAUGCGCAAGUUCAAAUCUUGCCUGUGGUA